GUGCAGCAGUCGAGAAUACUUUACAAUGCGGGAAACCGUGAUAAGGGAACCUCGAGUGCUGGCGCAUAGCGUCGGCUGUCCAGAUGCCUAAAAAGCAUCUGAUAGCAAGGGCCGGGCAAGACCGGUGCCAGCCCGCCGCGGUAACACCGGCGGCUCGAGUGGUGGCCACGUUUAUUGGGUCUAAAGCGUCCGUAGCCGGCUCGGGCAAGUCCCCCUGGGAAAUCUGGCGGCUCAACCGUCAGGCGUCCAGAGGAUACUGCUGGGCUU
rnacentral:rRNA from 1 species